rnacentral:rRNA from 1 species
GACGAACGCUGGCGGCGUGCCUAAUACAUGCAAGUAGAACGCUGAAGGAGGAGCUUGCUUCUUUGGAUGAGUUGCGAACGGGUGAGUAACGCGUAGGUAACCUGCCUGGUAGCGGGGGAUAACUAUUGGAAACGAUAGCUAAUACCGCAUAAGAGUAGAUGUUGCAUGACAUUUGCUUAAAAGGUGCAAUUGCAGUAUUACCAGAUGGAGCUGCGUUGGAUUAGUUUGUUGGUGGGGUAACGGCUCACCAAGGCGGAGACACGUAGCCGACCUGAGAGGGGGAGCGGCCACACUGGGACUGAGACACGGCCCAGAGUCCUACAGGAGGCAGCGGUAGAGAAACUUCGGCGAUGGGCGGGAAACUGAGCGAGAAACGCGGCGUGAGUGAAAAAGAGGUUCGGGUCGUGAAGCACUGUUUUAAGAGAAGAAAGAGAGUGAGAGUGUAAAGAUGACACUGUGACGGUAACUUACCAAGAAGGGACGGCUAACUACGUG